GCCCCGAAGCGGGGGUACCGGCGCGCCGGUUGAGACAGACCCUUCGAACCUGACGCGGUUGAGACCGCCGUAGGGAGCCUUCGCCGGACCACG
rnacentral:ncRNA from 2 species